rnacentral:rRNA from 1 species
UACGAAGGGGGCUAGCGUUGCUCGGAAUCACUGGGCGUAAAGCGCACGUAGGCGGAUUGCUAAGUCAGGGGUGAAAUCCUGGAGCUCAACUCCAGAACUGCCUUUGAUACUGGCGAUCUUGAGUCCGGGAGAGGUGAGUGGAACUGCGAGUGUAGAGGUGAAAUUCGUAGAUAUUCGCAAGAACACCAGUGGCGAAGGCGGCUCACGGGCCCGGUACUGACGCUGAGGUGCGAAAGCGUGGGUAGCAAACAGG